GCGUGAGGUGUAGGGUCUAGGGUUUCAACUCUAGAUUUUGUAAGAAAAAAAAUAUAAGAGUGAGUCUUGUUUAAUCUCUCACACCACUACCUCCUUGUAAAGCUUCAUCUUCUGAUCUAGAAGAGUUCAAGAGAUUCGAAGAAAGGAGCUUGGAUCAGCCAUCUAGAGCCUUUGAUGUGAGCUAGCACUCCUAUAAAGAAAGAUCCAAUGUUACUGGCGAGAGAA
rnacentral:lncRNA from 1 species